GGUUAAGUUAUUAAGGGCGCAUGGUGGAUGCCUUGGCACUAGGAGCCGAUGAAGGACGGGACUAACACCGAUAUGCUUCGGGGAGCUGUAAGUAAGCUUUGAUCCGGAGAUUUCCGAAU
rnacentral:rRNA from 2 species